CCUCCGCCAUCUUGUUUUACGUGAAGCACGGCAUCUACCGGAUAAGGAUUCUGUUUUAAAGGAGUCAAUCGGUGGACAUUAGACAAUGUUUCUUCAACGAGCUUGUAAUACAAUGAGGAUUGGCUUACUAAGAAGAGCCAUGAGUACUGGGAGAAGGCCAGAAACUCCCGAAAGACUGACUCCUGUUCAACAUGUUGCAGCCUUUUCUGCCUUUUUAUUUGGAAUCCUGGGCCCUGGAAUUUAUCUGAUGCUUACACGUGACAAACCACUCAGUGAACAUUGAUGAGGGAUUGGUGCCAUGAUACCAUUUAUUUCAAAGACCAGCUACUUUUGUUUACAUUUAUGUUGACUACUAAAUUGUGCAAGUGUGACUAACUAGAAAGAAUUUGUAAAGAACUUUUGAUGAACUGUUAUGGUGUAUGGCUUUUUUAGGAAAUUUUGCACUGAGUUUUAUUGUUACCUUGGUAUAUAAUGAAACUCACAAUAAAUUGUUGAGGAUGAUUUUACUGUUUUUCUGGAAUUUAUCUGAGUAAUCAUAGAGUGCAGUAAACUGUUUAAGAUCUUGUUAAGGUG